rnacentral:rRNA from 1 species
UACGUAGGGCGCAAGCGUUAUCCGGAAUUAUUGGGCGUAAAGAGCUCGUAGGCGGUUUGUCGCGUCUGCCGUGAAAGUCCGGGGCUUAACUCCGGAUCUGCGGUGGGUACGGGCAGACUAGAGUGAUGUAGGGGAGACUGGAAUUCCUGGUGUAGCGGUGAAAUGCAUUGAGAUCGGAAAGAACACCAAUGGCGAAAGCACUCUGCUGGGCCAACACUGACACUGAGAGACGAAAGCUAGGGGAGCAAAUGGG